GACAGAGGGUGCAAACGUUGUUCGGAAUUACUGGGCGUAAAGCGCGUGUAGGCGGCUGCGCAAGUCGGAUGUGAAAUCCCAUGGCUCAACCAUGGAAGUGCACCCGAAACUGCGUAGCUAGAGUCUCGGAGAGGAAGGCGGAAUGCUUGGUGUAGAGGUGAAAUCCGUAGAUAUCGGGAGGAAUACCAGCGGCGAAGGCGGCCUUCUGGACGGUGACUGACGCUGAGACGCGAAAGCGUGGGGAGCAAACAGG
rnacentral:rRNA from 1 species